GAUGAACGCUGGCGGCGUGCCUAAUACAUGCAAGUCGAGCGAACGGACGAGAAGCUUGCUUCUCUGAUGUUAGCGGCGGACGGGUGAGUAACACGUGGAUAACCUACCUAUAAGACUGGGAUAACUUCGGGAAACCGGAGCUAAUACCGGAUGAUAUUUUGAACCGCAUGGUUCAAAAGUGAAAGACGGUCUUGCUGUCACUUAUAGAUGGAUCCGCGCUGCAUUAGCUAGUUGGUAAGGUAACGGCUUACCAAGGCAACGAUGCAUAGCCGACCUGAGAGGGUGAUCGGCCACACUGGAACUGAGACACGGUCCAGACUCCUACGGGAGGCAGCAGUAGGGAAUCUUCCGCAAUGGGCGAAAGCCUGACGGAGCAACGCCGCGUGAGUGAUGAAGGUCUUCGGAUCGUAAAACUCUGUUAUUAGGGAAGAACAUAUGUGUAAGUAACUGUGCACAUCUUGACGGUACCUAAUCAGAAAGCCACGGCUAACUACGUGCCAGCAGCCGCGGUAAUACGUAGGUGGCAAGCGUUAUCCGGAAUUAUUGGGCGUAAAGCGCGCGUAGGCGGUUUUUUAAGUCUGAUGUGAAAGCCCACGGCUCAACCGUGGAGGGUCAUUGGAAACUGGAAAACUUGAGUGCAGAAGAGGAAAGUGGAAUUCCAUGUGUAGCGGUGAAAUGCGCAGAGAUAUGGAGGAACACCAGUGGCGAAGGCGACUUUCUGGUCUGUAACUGACGCUGAUGUGCGAAAGCGUGGGGAUCAAACAGGAUUAGAUACCCUGGUAGUCCACGUCGUAAACGAUGAGUGCUAAGUGUUAGGGGGUUUCCGCCCCUUAGUGCUGCAGCUAACGCAUUAAGCACUCCGCCUGGGGAGUACGACCGCAAGGUUGAAACUCAAAGGAAUUGACGGGGACCCGCACAAGCGGUGGAGCAUGUGGUUUAAUUCGAAGCAACGCGAAGAACCUUACCAAAUCUUGACAUCCUUUGACAACUCUAGAGAUAGAGCCUUCCCCUUCGGGGGACAAAGUGACAGGUGGUGCAUGGUUGUCGUCAGCUCGUGUCGUGAGAUGUUGGGUUAAGUCCCGCAGCGAGCGCAACCCUUAAGCUUAGUUGCCAUCAUUAAGUUGGGCACUCUAAGUUGACUGCCGGUGACAAACCGGAGGAAGGUGGGGAUGACGUCAAAUCAUCAUGCCCCUUAUGAUUUGGGCUACACACGUGCUACAAUGGACAAUACAAAGGGCAGCGAAACCGCGAGGUCAAGCAAAUCCCAUAAAGUUGUUCUCAGUUCGGAUUGUAGUCUGCAACUCGACUACAUGAAGCUGGAGUCGCUAGUAAUCGUAGAUCAGCAUGCUACGGUGAAUACGUUCCCGGGUCU
rnacentral:rRNA from 1 species